GAUGAACGCUGGCGGCGUGCCUAAUACAUGCAAGUCGAGCGAACAGACGAGGAGCUUGCUCCUCUGACGUUAGCGGCGGACGGGUGAGUAACACGUGGAUAACCUACCUAUAAGACUGGGAUAACUUCGGGAAACCGGAGCUAAUACCGGAUAAUAUAUUGAACCGCAUGGUUCAAUAGUGAAAGACGGUUUUGCUGUCACUUAUAGAUGGAUCCGCGCCGCAUUAGCUAGUUGGUAAGGUAACGGCUUACCAAGGCGACGAUGCGUAGCCGACCUGAGAGGGUGAUCGGCCACACGGGAACUGAGACACGGUCCAGACUCCUACGGGAGGCAGCAGUAGGGAAUCUUCCGCAAAGGGCGAAAGCCUGACGGAGCAACGCCGCGUGAGUGAUGAAGGUCUUCGGAUCGUAAAACUCUGUUAUUAGGGAGGAACAAAUGUGUAAGUAACUAUGCACGUCUUGACGGUACCUAAUCAGAAAGCCACGGCUAACUACGUG
rnacentral:rRNA from 1 species